rnacentral:misc_RNA from 1 species
UACGUAGGGAGCAAGCGAUGUCCGGAAUUCUUGGGCGUAAAGCGCGCGCAGGCGGUCCUUUAAGUCUGAUGUGAAAUCUCGCGGCCUAACUGCAAGCGGUCAUUGGGAACUGGGGGACUUGAGUGCAGAAGAGGAGAGCGGAAUUCCACGUGUAGCGGUGAAAUGCGUAGAUAUGUGGAGGAACACCAGUGGCGAAGGCGGCUCUCUGGUCUGUAACUGACGCUGAGGCGCGAAAGCGUGGGGAGCAAACAGG